rnacentral:misc_RNA from 1 species
AUGAUCUAAAAUUUUAUUAACAUGCUAAACAAUAAGACGGUCACUGUUAUUAUCCAAACAAUCUGUGUCGUAUACUUUUCUUCAGACAAUUAAAAGAGUGGAAGGUGAAAUAAGAAACUGAGUGGAUAAAAUAGAUAUGUACCAAGCCUUGAGGGUGAGAAUGAUGUUUUCUUCAUCUUUUGUUGCUUAUACUGAUGCUAUCUAUCUUGAAACUU